rnacentral:sRNA from 1 species
AUAAUAUCUUUGAUGGCACAUUAUUCUAGUCAUUAAAUUUACUAUGAAGGUGGGGCUAAAAAUCCACUAAAGGGCACAUCUGUGAAACUUCUUGUGCUUGCUUCUUACGCCCAGUUCGGGGUGAGUGCUGGGAGGUUAGGAUAUUGGGCAACCGUAAUGGCAUACGUUAUUGACCCAAUAUCUGUGGAGACCUAAACUUGUUAUAAGCCUAUACACAACAGUUGACGGACUUAUGACGAUUUAGGAUUAAACCUACUAUGUGGGGAAACUUACGAGUAGCGUAGCUUGUCUUGAGUGAAUAUAGGGAAUUAUUGAUCAGAUUCUUAUCUUUGGCCAAAGGUAUGGAUUAUUGCAUUAUGAAACUAUAUUUGCAAAAGAGAAUUAAUAGUAAAUAGAUGGUGGGGAAAUCUUCUAGAAUGUAUUUUAAUAUGGGAUUGCGGUGCGUACUAAGUGGCAAUCAAGUCAUAUAUUUGGUGACGAUAUAUUUGUAUUUUUAAAGGGGAACCGCAAGUUUGGUAACGAACUGUAAAUACAAGAGAAAUUCAACUUGACCUAAGACGCAAAGUUUACUAUUUUAAAUGCCAUCUUUUUUUUAU